CCGAGCUCGGUCGUGUGAGCUUGUAACCCAAAUGGGGGCAUUGAAGUGGUUGAAGGUUGUUUCGUUCCACCGUGUAGGGUUUGACCGAGGCGACCUCCGGCUUGCCCGUUACAAGUUGGGAGUUGGGCCUUGGGCUCUCGACGUAGGCCGAGAGUCCAUUGCUCCUAAAGAUUGGUGGGCACCGCGUUAGGCUGGUUCACAGAGCAGCGUAACCACCCACUCUCAUCGGUGUAAGGAUUACAAGCCGGUUCUCGGUGGCCUAUCAUUACACAGUCGGAUGUUCCCAGUCCGACGACCACUUUUUUCAUUUUUCGUUUCUUUUUUUUUUUCCAAAUAAUAUGUCGAUGAAAAUAGAAUGAGCGUAAAAAUUAGUGAAAUUUAAAGUGUUUGCAACUUCCUAAGGGAAUCAACCAUGUCACUAUGAAGCAUUCAAGGCUACUUCCUAGGGGAAUCAACCAUGUCACUAUGAAGCAUUUAAGGCUACCUGUUUUCUUAAUAUAGUUAUAUAAUACGAUUCCACCUAUCAAUCUUUCUAGAACAGAGUUUGAAUUUUCAACAGACAACACUUAAAUGAUAAAGAGAAACUAAAAAGAUUACAACCAAAGAAAGAGCUAUGUUAACUUGCUUUCCACAUCUCUUUCAACUACUACAUUUUGUUCUUCAUCAGUUUCAUCAUUUCCAGUUUUAUUUUUUAAAGAUAUCUGCUUUAGAAACCUCCCAAUAGCACUCUCUGAUUUGGAAAUUUUAUGUCUACUUGUUCUGCUUCCAUCAUUUUUCUUCAUGAUAUCUUCAAACACUGCCUCCACAAGACUGCCAAACCGUCGUUUGAACGUUGGGAACUUUGAUAUUGAUCUGGUGAUCCCUCGAAGCCUUCAUGGUAGACACAAGAAAACCAUUUAUGGAUGUGUUGGAAAAUUACCAGAAUUCGUUAAAGGAUAAACUAAGUUUUUCUAAGUACUUACCUUCGAGCCAAUGCCUCGAGUUCGGCACACUUGCAUUUAGAUUCUGGUGGCAAGUUUAUAUUUGAAUUCUUCAUUCUAACGGGAUCAUCACCCAACAAGACUAGCCUAGAGAGGUAGUCCUCUUCUUCCUCUGAGAGAUUUAUUGCUUUGAUUUGCUCCUUGAUGAUCAGAAGAGGACUUAGAAACCAAUCAAAGAAUACAUCUUGUGGUCGGUUUGCGGUAGUAAUCUCCGUAACAUUGUCAUCUAUAUCAAUUGAAAUCUGAAUGAAUUUGAAAGUUCUUAUAUGCUCAAAGUCACCAACCAGAAGGAAAUGAAACUUACUCAGAAGUAAUCCAGCUGAAUCAGCUUUUGCCGAACGAAGGAUCGUUUGAAGAAUGCAGUAAGCAGGCAAGCCAAUGCUAAUGACUGUGAUAUCAUUAUUGGAUUUGGCAUGCUCAAUAUCUUCAAGUGUUAUUAAUCCAUUGGACACAACAAUUUCCCCUUGCCGUUUACACUCCUUAAAAAGACGAUCGAGAAGCUAUACCGAAAAAGAGCAGAUUCCAAAAUUUUCAUUCAACUUUGAAACUUGAAGUAAAGGAAUACAUUGUUCAUUAUGAACACAAAUUACCUCCAGAGGUUUUAGCUCAAGAAUGAGAGUCUUGACCAAAUCUGUAAGAGAAGGACAACUUCUAACAGAUUGAGAUUCUUCUGGUUUAGCUUGUGACUGCAUAUCCUUCUUUCGAUAAAUGGGUCUGAAAUAUGAGGGAAAAAGUGUUAUGUCAAGGCUCACUUAUGCAGUUAAAAGAGAGGUUUUCUGAGGGUAGGGAAAAUACCUAGGAAAACAGGAGCCAUUGGCCAUGUCUAAGACAUCAUUGCUGUAGUCAUCAUAAAUGGAAAUGGAUGCCAAAAUAUAGCAAAGCCCCAACCAAAAAGAGGAUUCCUGCAAUCCACAUUCAAAAGUUUUAUGAUUGGUAUAUCUAGUGUUAGAAUGUCCUAAAUCUGUUAUCAAGUCUUUUAACAACUAAGAUUAAGGGUUAUAUUAAAAUUAAGAGACGAAAAUGAAGUUAGUCACGUAUUUAAAAUAUAUAUAUUGUUUACGAUUUUGCCUAGGGUUUACAGAAGUGAGUUAUAUUAACCCUUCCUAGAGGUACCACCAUUUUACAUGCUGAAGAUUCCCUCUAAUAAAACAGUUCAACUUCAAUCUGAAGGUUGUUAACAUACUAUUAGUAAGCCACGGAAGAAUUGAUUCUUUACUGUUUACACUUUUCUUUAUUUGUUGGUUUCGUAACAUCCAAAGAUGUAUAUUUGAGAUCUAGCCAAGUUGAUUGAAUCAUAUGUUAUUAUGAACAAAUCAUGUUUGUUCAGUAUAUCACACAAGAGCUGAAGAGGGAAGAUUCUUAGAACCAACUUCACUGUAAAAGGAAACUUUUGAGCUUAUCAGUUAAUACCAAACUAAGAUUACCCGAUUGAAUAACAGUGUUUAGAAAUGGAUAUUAGAUAGAGAUAUGUUGAAUUUGAAAGAAGGAACGAUCGACUUGAAAAUAAGAGAAAAUGUAGCCAACCUGAUAAACGAUGACUCCUGCAUAAGCACCAAGAAAAAUGCUAGAUAUAAUAGAGCCAACAAGUGCACCCACAACAGCUAAUGGCCAGAGUAAAAUAGCAAGCCCAGCAAAUGGAACACAUAUCGUCUCGGAGAAUGGGCCUUUUCGACCGACAAGAUCGUGGAAUAAACGACACCAACCCUUGAACAGCAUAAAAGGGCAUUUAUACAGAGCAAUGAGUAAGAUGACUGGUGUAUCAACAACAGAUCCAAGGAUUCCAAUUAUAGAACCACCAAGGAAGUCAAGUAAUCUGCAAGAAACUAACAAAAAAGUUAAGUGAUGGAUGCUUGUCACUUUUUUGAGAAGAAUAUGGCAUUUAAUCCAAGAAGUAAUGAACUGUCUUUUGGAAAGCCUUAACACUGAAUAAGCAGUACUGUUUGCGUCAAUCUUUUGGAACUAGCUGAGAUAAUCAAAAGUAUAUACUAGCUUUAUGACAAGUAUUUUGUAACCAAAACGGUUCAUUUGAUAUUCAAAUCAAAUCUAUAUUGCUUUGUUCCUGAUGAAUCAAUAAGCUUAAUCAGUUACAAAAUGACAAUAAUAAACCUGAUAUCAUAGUAUCCUCCAUCCAAGUUUCCCUUUUGUAGUAGUUCCUCCAUAGUAGAGAAGUAAGAAUGUAAACAAACAUCACGAAAAUCCCCAAUAACCAAAAAGGAUCCUUUUAUGGUAUCCCAAGUUCCAUCCUGAAAUUCAUCAUACAUGAGAAAUCAAAUUAUACCCAAAGGUAACAGAGAAAACACGAAGGAAUACCGUAAAUAUAAUCGAGUUCGAAUUGGAAAUACAUACAUACAUACAGUGGAAUACUUUAUCUGGCUUGUCUUCUCGAGCAGCAUCAAACGUAGCCAUUAUUGGAGAAAGAAAGCCAUAAAUAGCUCCACCUAUAGUGCUUCCGAGAGCGGCAAAUUCAGGCCAUAAAAGCAGUAGAACAGGCAGUACACAAAGACAUAAAACGAGUUUAAGACCCCAACCAAGAACUUCUGAUCUGCAAAUAAGGGGCAUGUAAUAUAAGAAAGAUGACUACUUCACACAAUCCAUUUGGACAACGGAAAUGGAAAGCAAAGGUUUAUAGACAACACCUUAGAAUGCAGUAAUAUGUCCAAAAAGUUUGGAUAGGCCAAAGAAAGGCUAUCAAAGUAGAAUUUGCCAUUGUCAUGAUUAGGCUUGUCAAUGGACUGAAAAUCAUUCCUGAAAUUAUUAUUGAGGCAUUACCGAUCAGAGUGACAACCGACAAGGUUAAAGGGUUUGAACAUGUUUAUUCUAGGAGAAACGUAAUAAAUCAAUGGUAAUAUGACAAUUGAACCCUAUUUGACUAUGUUUAUUGUUGUUUACUCGUGUUUCGUAAUCCUAAUGAACUGUGGACUUCACUUCCAAAUCUGUAAUCAAAGAAUGUAGUAUGAUUGAUGAGCAAAAGAGUGAUCAAUUAGACUCUAUUGUGUUUGAAAAUCACGUGAGACCCACUACCCAAUACCAUUACAAUUAAGAUACUUUUACUUAUACAAUAAGGCAAACAACAAAAAACCGAAAAACUGAAAACCAAAUCGAAAUUGGACGUAUUGGUUUGUAUUUGAAGAAAACCAAAGAAAAUAUUGAUUCGGGUUAGGCUUUUAUGAACAAACCGAAUCAAACCAACGGUAUAUAUAUUUAUCAACCCUUGAAAGUUAACUCAUUAUCAUUACAGAUUAGUAUUUUAAUCAUUGUGGUCUAUGUAAUUUCUUUAGAAAAAAAAAAAAAGAAGCAUUUGUUAUGGAGUGUGAAUGCUAUUUAUUUAGAAAAGUGGCAAAAAACUACCAAACAAAAAUAAAAUUUUGGAAAAGAAUGUAAAAAACCGAGAACCAAACAAUAACCGAUCCAAAUAAAACCAACCCAUUGGUUUUUUUUUUCUUUAUAAAAUUGAUUGGUUUGGUUUGGUUUUUGUUCUUGUUCUUGUUUGACCCGAAAUGAAUAAAACCAAAAUACAUAUAAAAUGUGGAAGAGUUGAAAAGAAAGGCAAAGUUUGACCUUUGGUAAUGCCGAGAAGAAAAAGCAGAGUGAAUGAAGGUAGAUUACGAAUGAAGCUCCACAUAGAAGGAAAAGCUUCAUUUGGAGCUUUCAUCUCCACCCUUUUCGCCAAAUCCUUAAUAAUCCCUUCAGGUGUCUCCAAAUCUCUGCCCUCCAUUGAAGAAUUACCCAAAAACCUUCCCACAAACUCAAACUAAAUAAACCUUCAGCCAUUGCAAGCAUUUAAACAGAAAAAUCUGCAGCACACAAAUGAACAGAAGUUGCAUGGUUUGAUUAAGAAACCAAAUCACGUGAAACCCCCCAUUACAAAAAAAAGUAGAUUCAUUCAUUAGCGAUGGCGAUUAGACAUGGGUUUUAAGAACAGAUCUUCAGAAAUACCCAGAACGAUGGGAAGGAUCGAAUUGGACAAACCCCAUGAAAGAAACUAUUCAAGAUCACGAUUACCAUAAGCACGUAGCUACAGUAGAUUUGAUCAAUCAAUUCAAUGCUUGGUUGCUCACCCAAUGAGCUAGCUGUUUGUUUAUUGAACAAGUAAGGAUUUGAAUUCAAAUAAACAAAACAUAAAUAAGAAGAAGCAUACCCAUCUUCUUGAAUAGUUGAAACAACUAAGGCAACAAGUAUUACAACAAUAUUGGAAGCCAUUGAAUGCUUUCCUUUUUUCUUUAUUAAACAUACCAAAGAGAGACUAACAUGAAUUAAACUGUAAAAUCUCUAUUUUUCUUUUAUGAUCAAUGUUUACAGUUAUAUCUAACAAAGUAAGGUGUUAUCACAUUAAGAUCUUUCAAGUUUGGAUGUUCAUUCGAGUUUUCUCGAACAAGCUUAAGCGUUUGAACCAAGAGAAAAAUUGUGAAGUCUAGGAAGCUGUGAAUUAAGUAUAGCUACCCAUUUUUGUUAAGUUUUGUUGUCUUCAAUUUUACUAAUUUUUAAUAUUAUGAUUAGCCACCUUUUCAAAGAAAAUUGUUUUUUAAUUAUUUUUAAAGCCCGAGAAAUACUAACUUUUAAAAUUAGUUUUGGUUGUCCAACCAUCCAUGUCAUUGUAAGGGGCAGAUCAAAGUUGGUAUUAUUUUAAAUACGUCAAAAAAUAUAUAUACUCAUUUCAAUUUUUAACCAUUUAAAUAAAUGGUUUUGGUUAUAAACAAUAAUCAUCUUUUUCUUCGUGGAAAAAAAUAAAAAAUAAAGGUUACUCUCCUACACAACCUCCACGUCCUCACUUCUUCAUCCAAAACUCGAGCCUUCACAGCCACCACUUCUUCUUAGUCUUAUCUUAUUUGGUUAAAUCCUAAGUAAAUCUCAAUUUUCCCCUAUAUUGAUCUAAUAUCUAUCAUUUCAAAUUCUAAGUUAGUUAUCUCAUUAUAUCAUAAAUCAUUUACUAACAUUAUGAGAUUAUAUAGUUAAAUACUACCGAAUAUAUAAUUUUAGUAAGAUUUCAUAAUUAUAUAAUUAAUUAAUAAAUAGUAUAUGUUUUUAUUAGAUUCUAAAAAUAUGAAUUUUCCAAUAUGCAUUUCUGAUAAGUUUGGAAAAUAUGUUUCUUUCUUUUUUGUUAUUAUUAUUUUUAAAUGUAUAUUUGAAUAGAAUUUAUUAGUUUUACUUUUGACAAAAAUACAUACAAAUUUUGUUCUUUAUUUUUAAAUAUUUAUGACAUUACUCAAAUUCUAACAAAUAUACAUUUAAUAAAUUUAUACUAUAUUUGGAAGCAGCAAACCAAUAGUGGAAGAAACAUUUGGACUAUUUGAUUUUUUUUCAAAAUACAUAAAUUACUUUUAUUUUAAAAAUAUUUUAUUAAUAAAUUUUAUAAAACAAUAAAUGUUUGGUUGUUAUAAUAUAUUCACUUUCAUUUAUCUACAACAAAUAAGUUUAUUUUUAUUUUUUUUUUAAAUAAAUAAGGCUAAUAAAACUUCAUAUUUCUUAAAUAAAAUUUGAACUUUUGUUAAAGUUUUUAUUUUUUCUCACUUUUAUAAUUGAAGAUCUUGUCAUCCUUUUCAAAAAAAAAUUUGCCAUACGUUGUUUUGUCUCGAAGUCAUUCAAUUAUAAUGUAUUUUAUAUAUCCAGGAACUAUGUAAGUAAAACUAUUUUGUGAGUUACGCUAUUGUAGUUUAUUGAAAACUUAACCCUCUUUAAUUCACAAUUAAAUUCAUAUAUGUUUUGAUAAUCCGAAUUUGAUGACUUAUGCUCUCAUUUAGGAACAAGAUUAAUUUUGUGUUAUAUGUAAGCAUAGUUACAUUUAUGAAAAUUGUUAUCUUCAAGUAUGGUAUAUUUCAAGUACACUAUUUGUUUAUAUACAGUGACACAUUUAAAAUGACUUACAAUUUAAAUAUAUUAUAAUAUAUUAUCAUUAUUUUGAAUACUUUAAAAAAAAUGCUAGUGAAUACUUAGGCACCCUCACAAUUCACCCUGAUUGCUAACAAGUAUUUUCUAAAUUCAACAAAUUCGAGUUAUGAUAGGGUUGUUUAUUGAUACUAAAUUUAACCCUAUUUUCGAUGGCAGUGAAGGCCUUUGGUUAUGUGUUAUAUGUGCAAAUUCAUGAUGAUGGGCCAAGGAGGUUUAAUAUCUUUCUUUAUGGGCUUUUGUUUAUGUGUAGAGUACUUUGUAAAUUGGACUUUAUUUUUAUUCAUCCAAUUUAAAUGGAAAAAAUGGGCCAAUUUAAGGGUUUGGUUUGGAAGCAUAUCACACACAAAAUUUGUUCAUACAUUUAUGGUCAAAGUGGUUGCUUUGCACAUCAUCUCACAUUUUGAUCAUUCUAAAAUAUCCUUUAGAAUCUCAAAUGCAUGGAAAUAAACAAUCCAAUAGAAUGAGUUUCAAAUCAUGAUGAUUAAUUAGUAGCCUAAACAUUAAAAAAAAUGUCAAACAUGUAGUUUAAAGGUGAAUAAUUUUAUUAAAUAUAAAUAGAAAUAGGUUUUACCAUAAUUGUUCCAAAGAAAACCACUAUAUAUUGGUUAUAAGAAGAUAUAUUCCAAACAUCAAAUUUUUUAAAUAGGAUGUUUCUUUAUGAAAAUCAUUAAGAAAUAUUAGGAUUAAAGGUAUGGAAGUGAUGUAAUUCAAAUAUUAGAGAAUUAUAUAUUUAUCAAAAAGUUUAUUAUAAAAACAUUUUCAAUGAACCUAUAUGUUCACUUAUUCUUAUAAAGACUCAUAUAUAAUGAAAACGCAAAUGCAGGAUGUCAUUGACAAUAAAAUUUCAAGAAAGAAAUCAAGAUAAAAUUUAUAGAUAGGUAAAUCUCACACUCAUUAGAGAAUAUUUGUACUAUAGGUAUAUAAAAAGAACAAAAAAACACUACAAGAAAUCAGAAUUCUUUUGAUGUAUAAAAGAACGUCGAAAAAAGGAGCGUCGAGAGAUAGGUGUUCCACAGACCUAGUCUUCUCUUCGUUGGUGGAAUUUAUCUCUCUUGACAUUGUAAAUACGACAUCAAGUAAAGGUUGACCGGUUCUGACACAAUUUAUAUAAAUGUUAGAGAACGCGUAACAAUUAAAAAUAUAUUUCCUUUUUCCCAACGAAGUAUUAAGAACGUCGGAAAGGGCGUCAGGGAAAAGGAAUCUAUUAUUUAAUUGAAACACCUUCCCCGAUGCCAUGCAUCCAAAGUUAGAAAUGUGGCUGAUAUUUUCAACGUGUUUAGCAACAACAUCGAGGGAAAGAAAACAAUUAAAUAAUAUCAUUUCCCCUGAUGUGCGUUCAAAGACGUCGAGAUAUAUUAGUGGCUAAUUAUUUCUGACACCAUUAGUAAUGUGUUGGUGUUAAUUCCACACAAUAUCAAUGCAUUACUAAUUAAUGGCAUCAGAAGUAGACGUCUUCUCCCGACGUCUUCGAAAUGCGUCGAAAGUGCUCUUUUAAAUAGCACUCUUUCAUUUAUGUAAAUCAUAGAACUGAAAGAGGAAGAAAGAAAACAAGAGAGAUUAAGAAGAAGAAAAGUGUAGUUCGUCUGUCGUGUUGCCGUUGUUCUUUGUCGUUCUCUUGUUGUCGUUCGUCGUCUGCCGCCUGCUGUCGUUGCUCCUAACUCCGCUAACUAGUUUAGCUUUUGUUUUGUUUUAGUUUUGAUUUUAGAAUUAGUUUAAUUUUUGUUUCAAAUUGUUGGAUCGGUAUGGCAACCCUAGAGGGGGGUGAAUAGGGUUUAAAUAAACUUUUUGACAAAUAAAAAGUAAAAUCAACUAAUUAGAUAUUUUCUAAAAUUUAAAUAAAGAACUUUUUAAACUUUGUUAAAUAACAAGAUUGAUAAAAAGAUAUGAAUGGAAGUAUGCAAUCAAACUCAACCAAUAAGAAUAUGUAACUAAAAUUAAAUUAAAAAAUAAUUAGAAAAGAGUUAGAGAAGAAGACACCGUAAUUUUAUAGUGGUUCGGUUAAACUCAACCUACAUCCACUUUCCCAAGCACCCCUUGGGAUUUUGAUUGAAAAUCUUCUUUGAACUCUUUCCACGGAUUUGAGCCGAACCGAUUCUUGCUCCUUUUUCGGGUUCAAGAGCAAACCCGAUCCUUUCCACGGGUUAGGAUCCAACCGUUACAAUAUGUUGAAAUUUUUAAAUCACACAAAAGAAAACUCUCUAAAAGAGUGGAUAUACAAUUUGAAGCUCACAAAUUUAAUCCUCACAAUACAAUAAGAAGCUCUCAAGAAUAAGAUGAAAAGAAUAAAAAUUGGAAGCUUUAGAGAGAAUAACAAUGUUGGCUUUUUGCUUGGGGAUUGUAAAGAUGUAGUGAUCUUGUGUAAAUGUGAAGUAUUUAAAAAGAGAGGAAAGAUAAAUUCAAAAUCAUUUGGGUCAUUAGAUAUAAGUAAAAAAAAAAUGAAUGGUUGAGAUAUAAACUUAAUUAGCCGUUAGACACAAUACAAAUAAUAAUAUAAUAAUAUGCCUUUUCAAAAUUUUUUGUUUAAAAAGAAAUCAAUAAAGCAACUUCACCCUCUUUUAAAAAAAAACUAGCCGUUAGACACAAGAAAAAAUAAUAAUAUUAAAAUCAUUUUUCUUUUAAAUUCAUUUUCUUUAUAAAAGCCAAUAAAACAUAACAAAAAGCCACAUUUGUUACUUCUUCAUUGCUCCAAGUGGCUUUCUCUAAUUGGUUCAAAUUGAAUGCUUGGUCGCCACGUCACCAUCUCGGAUAUUUUUUCGUUAAGCUUCUUUUAGCAAUAUUUUCUUCAUUUGAACUUUGAUUUGGGUGAUUCAAGGGGCGUUAGAAUCAUUUUUCCAAGCUCUACGAUAUGGUCUAUUCAAAUUAAUAAAAUUGUCAAUAAAAAAAAAAUCAGAUUUGUUAUCAUCAAAACAUAAAUUAAUUGAAUAAUUAAAAUAAAUUAAUUUGAGAUUAAGGGCCAAAAAGCCAACACAAAUUAGUUUAAGGAUUUAGUGUUUGAAUUAGUUUUAGGAUUUAAUUUUAAUUUUAUGUGUUUUGAGGGAGUUGUGUAUUGAAAUUUUGAGGGGUUAAUGUAUUGUGUAUAGAAAAUUUGAUUGGGGGAGGGGUUUGAAUUGAAAAUUAAAGGGGUAGUAGUAUUGAAUUUGAGGAAAAGGGGUGUAACGAUUUCAAUAUUAUUUUUUGUGAGGAAUGUUAUUAUUAUCAUCAUUAUUUUGGCUAUUAUGUAGUUACGGUGGUCUUUAGUUCAAAUUUUCUCUAGUUUUGUUUGUUGGAACUAUUAGUUAGCUUGUAAAGAUUGAAGUAAUUUGUUUUGAAUUUCUUGUGCAGUUAUGGUAGCCUAUUCAGUGCAAACUUAGUUUUCAUUUUGUUAAUAGUUUUGAAGGUUUGAAGAGUGUUAGGUAGCUUGUAAAGUAUGUUCGAAGUGGUAGGUAGAACUAUAAAUAUUUAAGUUGUUCGUGGUUAAUUUGAUUUUGGUUAUUCUGCAGUUAUGAUAGCCUUUAUAGUUUAAACUUACCUUUAAUGAAAAGUUUGGAAGAUUAGACAUAGCCAAUCCAAAGAGUAACUUCAGGGAUUGAGAGGAUGAAUAUACGAUUAAUCAAACAUAUAUAUUAAGUCUUCAAUGAUGGACAAGAGCUUGUGUCGACUUCAGAUCGAAACUCUGCCAACGCAUGCCGACAUCGAAAAAACUCUGACUCAUUGUAGUGAAAAAAACUAAAAAGUUAAAUAGUAUCUAAUAGAACGUUGUUAAAUUUUACAUUCAUUGAAUAAAAGAAAAAUUAAAGGUGGAGUGUGUAAAUAAGUUUGCACACUAACCCAAUGCUAUGGAAAUGCAAAAACUUUCUUUUUUUUUUUUUAUAGUCCCAACAUAUAUAUAUUAGAAUGUGGAGCACAUAAUAAUCUUUUAUAGGGAAAUUAACAUAAUAUAUCAUCAUGAUCACAAUAUAGAUUCCAAAGCAUAAAUUCAAAAUAGAUUUAGUACAAAAUGAAUCAAAGAUCUGUGAUCAUCAAAACUAACAAUGCAUCCAACCAUAGAUUCCAAGAAAGAUACACCAUCAAUCAAAUAUUUCAAAUAAUAAUAAUAAUAAUAUAUUAAUUGAUUGAUUAAUUAGUUAAUUAAAUUCCAUUUUUUGAACAUUUUUUUAUUUUUUAAAUAAGAAUAAUUUGCAUGUAAAACAUCAAGCAUCUAUUUUCAAAAAGUUUGACUUAUUUUAAAAAAUAAGUCAAGUUUUGAAAAGUUAAACUCAAUUUGGUAAAUCUAUAGCUUAUUUUCUAUCUAUCUUUUACCAUGAUUUGUACAUUCCCUUUUUAGUUAAAUUCAAAAAAAAAAAAAUCCAUUUAAAAAACCACUCUUUUUUUCUUUUUCAAAUUUUGAUUUAAAUUUUUUUAAAAUAAAUAAAUAACAAUAUAAUAAAAUUAAAAGUGGAAGAUUUUUUUUUUUAAAUUUCACAUAAAAUUGUCAAAAAUAGCAAAAACAAGAGACAAAAUAUUACGGAAUGUAAUAGAUUUUUGUGUGUGUUUUUUUUUUAAUGUUAUUAUUUUUAAAAAACUCCAAGUUACAAGCUAAAAUUUAAAUAUAUAAUUACCAAACAAAUACUUAAUAAGAAAAAUAAGGUUAGAAAACAUGUGUUUUAAUUUUUGAGUAUUUCACUUGAAAAAUAAAAAUCAAUAACCAGAAAUGAGUUGAGAGGAACAAUAAUAAUAGUAAAAGUAAUGAUAAUAAUAAUAAAUAAUAAUAAUAAUAGGGGCAUAGGGCAUAGGGCAUAGGCAUUGAUUCAUGAAAGCAUAAAAUCUUGUAGUAAACCAAAUCUUAUGGGAUACGUAAAAUGGAUGGGAUCCUUCUUCUCAUUAUUUCAUUUCUCUCUUUUCUUUAUUUACUUUCUUUGGAUUUAUAUUACAUCCACGUGCUCUCUCUCUCUCUUUCCAAAUUUCAAUUAUGUUCAUGUUUUAGAAUCUUUCAUUAUUAUUGUUUUCUUCACACACAAUUGAAUAAUCUUCUCAAAUAUUUUGUUCUUCCAUAUAUUCUUAGGUAUCUCAUCAACAUUUUUCUCCAUCAAUUAUUUACUUCUCCUUCCACUCUACUUUCCCCCUCUCUUACCAACAAAAACCCAUUUCGAUUUUUUCUCGUUUUUUUAUUCAUCAAACGCGCUAUUUAAUCAUCCUUUCCAUAAUUGCAUUUUAAGUGUUACACCUCUUUCUUUAAUGAGACUUUCGUUUGUCUUUUCAUUUGGUGAUCUUUACCCUCACGACCAACGCCUACUAAGUUUAUUGGUUAAAUAUAUAUAUAUAUAUAUAUAAUAUAAUGACGUGAUGAACACUAGGGUAACGUAUGAGUAUAAAUUAAUUAGAGUUAUAAUUAUUAUAUAUAAACAGUAGUUUUUUUUUUUUUUUUUUUUUUUUUUUGUUUAAAUUGGUGUGUUGGGGUGUUUGUGAUGUAGAAGGGGGUGUUGAGGGUUAGGCAGUUGGGACAAGAUUCCUACCUUUUCCACCAAAUUUUGUUUGAUUGUUUUUAAGCUUAAAAAUUGAGGAAGAAGCAAUAUGAAGAGCAAUUAUAUAAUUAGUACAGUGAUGAUGAAGGCAUUUAGGGCAUAAUUUAAAUGUUAAUAAUUAUAGAGCUUAUAGGAGUUGGAAAAGCUAUUUAAUUCCCCCACAAUAUCCCAACAUAUGGGACCUUCAUAUAUCUCAUUGCUCUUUUUUUGCUUUUCCCUCAAAAGAAAAAAUCAAAUCCCAACCCAUAUAUAUGAGUAUACUAUAUAGUCUUUUCCUUAUUAAAACACCUAAAAGGAAAAAGAAAAACAUCCCAUGCUCUUGUGGGGUAUCUUUCACACCCUCUACUUGUUUGUCCUCAAUUCUUUAACAAAAGCUUUUUUCUAUGUCUAAGUUUUUCUUCAAUCAUUUUUUCAUGGCUAGAUAAUAUAAUAUAGUUUUACAUAAUUUAUCUUCAUACCUCAGUUAUACCUGAGUUUAAGAUUUUGGGCUAACUAGUUAUUUAACAUGAUUGUCAUUAGUUUGAAGAGUAAAUGGUACACAAAUAUACAUUGUUCACCAACAAUUAUGAUUUACAAAAAAGAUAUGUUAGCUAGCCACGUUCAAGUGACAAAUGAAGAACAAUUUUAACCACUAAGGUGAUAAAUUUUAUAUAAUACCUCCUAUAAACCUUAUGAUCAUAAUCAUAAAUAACUUUAAAUAAUUAAAUAUGUAGGAGAAUCUUAUACUUUGGUUGUUCAAGAUAAAAAAGUCAAGACCUUCACUUGAGGUUUUGUGGUGAAUUUAGAAUACGAAGAGCAGAAAAUAUAUUAAAUGCAAGAAUGUACGUAAAGUGCAAGAAAUGUAAAAAAAUGAGUCUAGGGUUAAGUGAUUAGGAAGCAGUACACAAUUGAUCAAUCCAUCAAUUUUCAUACAUGAAUGUACUUAGCCUACUCACUGCAAUGGUUGCGUUGCAAGUUUCCAAAUUGAUUGAUUAAUAACUUAUGUAUAAACUAGAUACUUGACUAAUUGGGUUUGAUAGAAUCCAUGAAAACCUCACAAUUGCACAUUAGGUCCUAGGGGACUUCACUAAGACAAUUAGAAUUAGAUUGUGUAAGUUACUAAAUGGUGAUUUCAAUUACGUGAAUUAAACCAAUUAUUAUGCAACCUUUCAAUCACAUACAACAAUGCUUUGAUUUGUACACUUAACACUCAAUUGCAUAUCACAUGUAUCAUUCGUCAAUUUUCCAUCUAACAAAUAGUAGAUGGUAGUGAUUAGGUGAAAGAUAGAUUCUAAACAUAAAAUUUUUUAGGGAUUUGUUAUAUAUAUGAUUCGACGUUAUUUUUGUCCACUCCCUAGUUAAUAUUAAUUUUCACUUCUUAAAUCAUAUUUCUACUCAUUAAUAUAAUUAAAAAAUUGAAAAAAUGUAAAAAAUAUAUAUAUAUUACACAUGAACCUUCCAACUUUUAAUUUGAUCUAUCUCUGAAAAUUACAUUACUUUUUAAAGAAAAUCAUUAACAUAUUGUAAAUAUUGCAUACGCCAUUCUAAUUAAGCUAUAAAAAUUGUUACGGUCAAACUUAGGAGUAAAUCUAAUUGAAAAAAGCAUUCAAAUUCAUAAAAGAGACGAGAGAAAAAAAAGGACCCAAUUUUCAAGUUCUUAACUACAAAGAAGGGCAAAUCUAUACAUUAAAAUUAGACAAUUUUUGACAAAAGAAAAAAGUCCAAACUUUAUAACAACAUUAACCGUAAUUUAACAAAUAUGGUAUUAGAUUAAAAGAAAAUAAAUUUCUAUUUUUAAAAUUAAUAUAAUAUCACAUGGAGACGUUUGUUAGUUAGAGUAUCAAUUUGUUAAGUUGGCUUGACAAUUACUUGAUGUAAGAAAGGAGAUUUAAUUUAUGGUUCUAAUUAUGAAGAACAUGACAUUAUUAUAUUGAUAGUAAAAGCUAAAUAAAUAAAAAUAAUAAUUAAUACAACUACCAACAUAAACAUACAUUCAUUAAUUAAGAUUAGAGGAAAUGAUUAAAAAUAAUAUAAAUUCAUAAUAUUAAAGAUUAUUUUGAAGUGAAGACAUAAAAGUGGACUUGGUGAUUGUAUAUUAUUUUAAAAAUAAAAUUAGAAAGUGUUUUUUUCUUUCUUUCUUUCUUUUUCUUUCUUCCCUUAAUUAAAGGUUGCCUCACAUGGGUUGAUACCCCUUUACAUUACCCAACCACCCUUUCACAAUUAAUUAAUUAAUAAUAAACAAUAAAAAAAAAGUUAAGAAAAUUAAUUAAAGAAAAAAAAACCCACCUAACUAUACCUAAAACUCAACUCUUUUUUUAUUUUAUUAAAUUAUAAUAGUACUCCUUUUUUAAAAAAAUAUUUGGUCUUUUCGUACUCUCAUUUCUUUGAUUCUAAUAGUGACAUUUAAAAAAAAAAUAGUAAAAGGAUAUAGCUUCGUUCUUAAUGUUUUUAAAUAUAUAAAUAAAUAAUUAUCACGAUUAACUAACAUUUUUUAAAUUAAAUGGUUGCUUUUAUGAAAUUUUAGAGACUACAAAUAUUUGUAAACUUACAAAACCAUUAAACAAAUAUGAAAUUGGGUUUUUGGCAAAAUACUAUAUAUGAAGUUUGUUCCUCAUCAAUUAAAUUGAUGAAUUGAGAUGGACUCUAAAUUGAAAAAGAAGUCUAGCUAUGUCUCUAGUUUUAAGUAGUUUGGUCAUUUAGAAAUAUUUUUAAACUUAGAUAACCUCACUCUCUUUUACAUUUUCUAGUUUGGGAGAGUGUUAGAUAUAAUAUAGUAAAAGAAAGCGAAAGUUUUGGUGAAAAUUGAAAACAUAAAAAAGGUUAUGAUUAUGUAGAGAUUAAAUUAGUUGUCUAGAAAUUAAACUUUCAAAUUAUUAAAAUUGACGUUUCAUGUAAGCAAAUUUAACAUGUAUAUGAAAGUUAAAUUUGUACUUUCUUCGAUUAUGUUUGAUUAAUCUCGUAUUGUAAUAACUCAAGUUAAAUUUACUUUUGGAGAGGUACUAAGUGGUUUUGUCAAAAAUUAUAUAAAUAGUAACUUAAUACUUCUUUUGUAGUUAUCUUAUUUCAAAUUUAAAAAGUUCUCUAAUUUCUUUCUUUCCUGUGUACUUGAAUAUUGAGUUGAGAGUAAGCUUGUCAGAUCUAAGUAGUUCGAGAUUAUAGUUUUACUGGAUUUAGUUGUAGUAUCCUGCUGAUAGGAUUGUUUUAGUCUACUUGCAAACAUGUGGAGUGAAUAAUUGUCUUUUGAGUAACAUUUAUUAGAUGCGUUCCUCAACUAUGUUUUGAGUCUAAUUUAAGUUUUUUUUCAUAUCUAAGUCCUGUUACAUCAUUUGACCAACGUCUGAGUCUUAAUAUUAUACCCAAUAAGUAUACUAUUUCUAGUUGAAGUGUAAUUAGUUUUUUUCAUACUUUUGUAUUUGAGGUUAAGAAAGAGAUGAAUUUUUUUUGUGGUCUGUAAUUAUAUUGGAAUUGAAGCUUUUCAACCUAAAUUUCAAUUUUUACUCAUCUCAAAAUCAAUUAUUUUAGAUUUUAUGAAAAAUUAUAAUCUAUUCAUAUUUUGAUGUGGAUGUUGAUUUUAUAAGGAUUAAUCACAAAUAAAAACCCAUUAAUUACUAAGACCUAUUUAAUUUUGAAUUUAAAAAGAAAAUUAGGUGGAAAAGUAAUCUUAAAAGAGUGCAAAUGAACAGAGAACACUAGCUAAGGUAAAACCUUAUAUAUAUAUUAUCCUUUCUCCAAUAUUUAGGGUUUUGAGAACUAUAUAUUGUCUCUUAAUUAUUACUUUCCCCUCUAUGUUUUCUACAUUAACCGAUGUAAAUUAUAAGGGUGUUGUUUAGAGAGCACUAUGGUAAACCCUAAAAACCUAACUAAUUAUAUUGUGUGUAUUUUACUCAGACAAAAUCCCCCAAGUUCUGGUUCUGUGUACUCAUAUAAACCUACCUAUACCUUUUAAUUUUAAAUACUAUACUUUUUCUUUCUUCCUUUCAUGUCUACUUAAUCUUUUAUCUUUUACACUUUCAAAAUAUCAUCAUUCUUCUUAUUAUAUUUUCAAGAAACAAAAUGAUGAGAUCUAAGUAUCAAAAUAAUUCAUUCUAAAGCACAGAAAUUCAAAUCAAAAUUUGAACAUUCUCCUAUCUUAAAAAUGUUCAUUUUAUUCUUUAUACAUUCAAAUCUAUUUUUUAUAAUUUGUUAUUAUAACUUUCUAAAAAAACCUUUGGGCGUUUAUUUUAAUAUUUCUAAGGCAUGGAAAUGAUAAAUAUUUAAAAUUACAUAUUAACAAAAAGUUGAAGUACAAGAACCAAAUUAAAAUGAAAAAGUAUAUAAAGAUGAAAGAAAAAAAGGGUUUCUUUUUGGAGGUCCCCAUAAAGAAGCCCUGAAAAAACGACAGUUCUCCAAACCCAUGACCUAAAAUAUAUAUAUUAAACCUCCACUCCAAUCCAAUCAAAUCCAAUCCAUGAAUAUUGGCAAAAAUUAUGAUUAUGAAUAAUGUUAGAUUAAAAUUAAAAAGAAAAACCCUUUGGAAGUGAUUAUGCAAUGGCCCGCCAAUGAAGCAAGCGUGUUCCCAAGCAUCCACCCCCAUGUGCUGCCCUUUCCCCCUCUCUAUCUAUCACCUCCUUCGCCUUGUCGCUUUCUCAUGCCUCCUUUAACCCUAUCUUCAUCAUCUCUCCCGCCCACCUAUCGCCCUCCACCUCUUCCAUUCUUAAUUCUUAAAAUCAUCUCCUCUUCCACCCCCUAUCAUUUGUUUUCUUUUGUUUGUAAUUCACCUAUUUUACAAACCUUUCAUUUCAUUCCUAUAGUUUUCUUUAUCUUUUCUUGUUCUAUAUCAUUCUUGAGCCAUCAUACUUCCUUCUUAAUCUUUUCCUCCUGUACUACAAAUAUUCAUUCUUUCUUUUAAGAUAAUAUAAACAAUAGUUUACAUUAUAUUUUAGUAUAACCUUUGUGUUGAAGGUUUAAUUAAGUAAACCUAUCUCACAAGUCACAAUUUUUCUCUCAACCAUUUCAUUUACCUUGCUUUACCCAGGGUGGAAUUCAAAUUGUUCAUAACAAAUUAUUGAAUUUAUGAUUUUUUUUAGUACAAGCUCGAGUGAACGGAUUUGAAUUUAGAACUUUGAUUCUUAUUACAUAUAAAUGUUAAUUGAAUUAAGACUUUCAGUUCUUAAAUAAAAUACGACUUUAAAAGUUAAAAGAAAAUCAAGGGGAAAGAUUGUUAUAAGCUUAGUUUUCAAAACCUAAUAAAACAUAUAUAACAGGAGGGGUCUAAUUUUUAAGAAUUGUUGUUUUUUUUAAGAAGGAUACGAGUUGCAACAUCGUUUAGAAUCAUAAAAGAUAUAUAUAUAUAUAUACAAAAGGAUUUAAGAAUAAAUUUGCUUGGUCCACCGAGAGUGUUUAAGGAUAGUUAUUUGAGUUUUUAAGUCUAAAGUUAAUACAUUGGAGUUAGAAAGUUUGUGUUUCAAAUGCAUAAUUGUAAAGUCUAGAAAUAUAAAACAUUUGAAUGGGAAAAGUUGGAUCAUUUCUCAAUAAAUGUGAAAAAGUUUAAUAGUGAACACGGUUAAAAUUGGUAAAAUUGAGUUAUUUAACCAUAAUGAAUUGUAAAGUCGGUAGACCAAAUCCUCUAUAAAAUUUUAAAAUAUACGGAAUCAAACUUUUUUAACAUUCUGUUUUUUUUUUCUCUUUUUUUUUGUCUAAAAAUUAUUUUCCUAAUAUAAAAUUUCAUUCAAUUAUGGUCAUUUAAACUCAUUCUUAAAAACACAGAGUAAAAUGUAUAUUUUGAAUCAUUUAUUCUUUUAUAAACAAGAAAACUAGAAAGAAAAAAAAAACUUGAAAAUCAGAUACUUUUUUUCUCAAAAAAGGAAAAGAAAUAGAAAACAAAUAUUGACUACUUUUACUGAAUACUUUCAACCAAGACUACAAAUUAAAGAUAGAAAAGUUAGUUUUAAAGAUAACAAAAUAAACUAAAAUAUUUAUAAAUAUAACAUUGGUAUAAAACUAAAACAUUUAUGAAUAUAACAGAAGUAACAAUAAAAAUAAAAAAUAAAAUUUGGAAGAUAAAAUAAAAGAUGAAAGAAAACACAAAUGAUGGAGACCAUAAUUAAAUAAUGAUAUAAUUUAAUAAAUUUUGUCUCUCUAUUUCUCUCUUUUAUUAUUAUUAUUAUUAUUAAUUGUAUUUGCAGCUUCUUCCCAAAUUUGUCCCUACAUAUGUUUAAUCUCCACCAUUAUAUAAAUCCCCAAACCCAUCACCAUUUUUUGAAACAAACUGAAAAUUUUAUCUCCAAAGUUAAAAGAUGAUGAUGAAGCUUAGGUCAAAGAGAUUCUGCCGAAGCUCCACUUUCAAAUUUGGAAUUACAAGCUUUGUCACCAGCUGUAAUAACAAGAUCAAAGUUGCCGAUGACCACCACAAGGACUCCUCCUCCGCCGCCUUGACCGAAAUUAAAUGGGAGCUCCGCCCAGGUGGUAUGCUUGUGCAGAGGAGAGAAAUCGCCGGCCAAUCCACUUUGCCCGGAGAAGAUGAAACAAUCACUAUUAGAGUUUCAACUGUCUCUCAAUUUCAUGACAUUUCUGUUCAACCCACCUCUACUUUUGGUAUGUUUUCGUUCUCUUUUUUAACCUUACAAUUGGGUUUUUCUUUCUUCAAUUUUCCAAAUUUGGUGAAGACUUUUUAUUUUCCAAAAAACGUUUGCACGAUCCUUUUAAGAACGUUAUUGAAAAAGUUAAUCGUGUUUAAGAUAACUUUAAAAGAAAUUGAAUAAUUUAGAAACACACUUCUCUAAAGCUAAAAGUUUAAAUCUUUAUACAUCACUUUGGUUGUACAUCAAAUUUCGUUUAUUGUAUACAUUCUCAAUGAAUUUGUAAAUUUUUUAACGAUGUCAUUUUAUUUAUUAAAGAAUAACAGUCGAAAGCAAUUAAGUUGUAUAUAAUCUCAUACAUUAUUAAUUUUAUUUUAGAAAUAGUAAAAAAGACAAAAAUAAAAAAUAAAAAAACAAAUUUCAACUUUUUUAUAUAUAUAAAAUUUUAUUGGAGAAGUUGUAGGAAAAUAUGUAUAAUUGCAAACCAAGGCAUAUUGGGAUUUAUUUUGUUCAUGUAGGGUUCUUAAGGGUUUGAUUAAAAAGUAAUGAAUUUAAUUUGGUUAUGUGUGUGUGUUUUUUGUAGGGGAAUUGAAGAUGAUUCUAUCAAUGGUGACUGGUUUAGAAGCAAAAGAACAAAGAUUAUUAUUCAAAGGGAAAGAGAGAGAUGAUUGUGAAUAUCUACACAUGGUGGGGGUUGGACACAAACACAAAGUUCUUCUACUUCAAGAUCCAGCUAUCAAGGAAAGGAAGCUUCAUGCUUUAGCAACAACCCAACCAAUUAGUGUAUAAUAUUUUUAUUAUAUUAAAAUCUCAUAAUUAAUUAAUAUUACUACUAAUUAAUCCCACAAAAAAAUGGAAAAAAACAAAAAAAAAAAAACAAACACAUUGUUUACUUUUUAGAUACCCACUAACCCUAAGAAGAAAAACAAUUAUGUGCCAAAAUUAUUGUCAGUCCUUUAAUUGAAAGGCCUUAAUUUGUUGUUUUGUUAGAAUUUUGGUGGUUUGAAUAUAUAAUGUUUUUGUAAGACUGUUUGAGCAAAUUUUGAGGGCAUCCAUUUAUAUAUAUGGAUUCUUAUGUGUAAUAUGAUGAUGAUGAUGCUUAUGAUCUCAGUCAUUAUGUUUGUUGAUUUUGUAUCCAAACAAAGAUUGAUUCUAAAGAAAUGCACCUCUCACAAGUUUCAUUUUACCCUUUUUUUUUUAUUACAUUAUUCUCUUUAUUCAAACAAAAAAAAAAUGUAAUGAUCAGUGUUGCAUGAAUAGACACAUAUAAAUGUUAGAGAUGUAUUUAUUCAUAAUAACAUUUUUCAAUUUGAACUUUGAACUUUAAUAAUUAAUUGUAUUAUUUUACGUCUUUCGAUUUGCUCAAAAACUAUCAUGUGAGACUUAAUGUAUCAAGUAAAGAGAUAAAUUGUCAAAAGUGUGAAUUCAGUUUGAAACCUUUUGUCAAGAAUACCUAAUUAACGGUGAACAAAUUCAACCUAACUAACGAACUAGUCCAAGAAAAUGCAAGUAUGAUAUAUAUAAUGAUAUACUAAGCAACUCUCGAACUAAUUAUGUUUCAAUCGAUUAUUUGUAAUGUCAAAUCCAAAUAAAGUUAUGUAUUUCAAUUAUGUUAGUGAUUGGACGUUGCUGCAAGAAUCUUCGACCAUAUGUCGAUAAAAAAAAAACAACAACUGGACCGUCAAAACAAAAUCUACAAAUUUCUUCAUCAAAUUAAUCGUCGGUGUAAGACAAAUUUAAUCUUCAUCAGCAUAAUUCUAUGGUAGCAUGUACCACACAAGAACACCUAUGGCUAGAUAUAAUUGGUUGCACAAAAUUCUCACCCAAUUUCGAACCAAACAAUUUAAUAGUUAACACUAAAAAUAAUGUAGUAGUGGUAGCACGGGUUGUACACAAAAGUGUUGAAUUUUUUUUUUAAUUAAACAUUUUGCAGUUCGAGAUAACGUAACCAUCAGGAAAUGAUGUAUGUGAGAUUUGUGAAAACUUAAAGAUCAUCAAAUGUAUACGUCUUACUAAUGUUAUAUGUUGAAUUGAAUAUUAGUCUUAUUUUUAUAAUAAAAGCUUAUUUUUGUUAUAUUUGUUCCUCACUUGAUUUGAUUGUCGAUUAAUUAUUGUUCAUGCAUAAUUAGGUACUCUCGAAAAAAAAAUUACAUAUUUGGCAAUUACGAUUUAUAUAUAAAACUGUAAAUUACUUAUGUCGACAAAUACGACGUUGGCAAACAUAUGAUUUUUACAACAUUUUGAAAAACGAUUAAUUUGUCAACGCAACAUAUGACAAAUUAAUCAUAAAACUACUUUUCCCUAUUUUUCUAAAUUGCUUCUCAUCAAACUUCCUAAACUCCUACUUUACCCUAAAUUACUAAAUUAAUCAUAAAACUACAUUCCAUUCAUUACAAAUUCAUCCAUAGUUUAUUAAAAAAUACAAAUGUAGCGAAAUUAUUAUAGUUUCACUUAAUAUAGUCUCUACAAAUUAUUAUAGUCCUAAUUAUUUACUUCUUAAAAUAAAUAUUUAUUAUCUAAAAUUUUGUUUAUUGUUUUGCACUAUUAUUUUUUAUCACACAAAUAUUUAGAUUUAUAAAAUAUCAUGGUUCAAAAAUUUAACUAAUUUGAUCUAAUUAGAGGUAAUGAUAUUUGGGCACAUGUUUCAUUGAGUCUAAAAAUAAACUCAUUCAAUAACUUGACACAAUAUUCAAUCAAGCCCAAAUACAAUUUGUUGGGUCUAAAGUUCAUCCACUCUUAAUGUCUAUAACCUUUGUAAACUCAAGUUCAAUCUCACGAACAAUACUUUUAAUUAAAUUUGUGUAAACAACAUAUCACAUUUUAUAAUUAAUAAUUUUAUGACAUCGUUAAUAUAUUAGUUCAUGUCUAAUAUUUUGAAUGUUAAUGGGAUUGGAAACCACAUAAUGUGAUGAUUGACACACCACUCAUUACUCAAUACUCAUUUCAUUACUUGUUAAUGGACAAGUAUGAAGGUUUUUUUUUUUCCCUAAACCAAUGUUUUUUAUUUAACAUUUAUCAUAUUUUAUUAUUACAACAUAUUAUCUAUGAAAGUAGAGAGAAAAAAAAAACAAUGAAAUUAUUUUAAAAGAAGAAAAGAGAACACUACAUUGCUGCAUUUCCUGGAAUGCCCUUUAUGUCCAAAAUGAUAUGUUUCUUCACUUUCUCAACUUCUUUUCACAAAACGACCCUGCAAAACCAACAUCAAACUCAAUUCAAACCAAAUUAUUCUAUUCAAUUUCACAAUGUAAUUAUAAUAAAGAGUGCUUUUACAGCCAACAAUUUAGAUUAGAGAGUAUCGUUGAUACGAGUGAGUAGUUAAAGAUAAAAUGGAAAUGAAUUUUACAAAUCAAAUCUAAAAGUUAGUUUUGGACUGCAUUACCAUACAUACCCACUUCAAUAUAACUCAUAAAACACGUCCUAAGUGAACAAUAACUUUACAAAGAAUUGUAAAUAUGACAAGAUGUACGUAUGAGCGGUAGACUUCUAAAACAAUAUACACAUUUACAGAUUGUGAGAGUUAAAUCUAAAAUGUAUUUUAUUUACAAAUUCUUUUAGGUUGUAUUAUAUCUACUAAUAUUGUAAUGAAACGAUAAAAUGAAUUAGUAAAAUGAAAAUUGUAAUGAAAGGGGUGGGAGUAUACCUUCAUUCUGGGACGCUUUUCAGCAUUGAGUUUUCUGACUUCAUAGCGAAUACGUUUGGAGAAAAGACGGCUUUGCCUUUUUUCUUUGUAUCUCAAAACACUCGCCUCUCUCUGGCCCAUUUUCCAUCCUUCUUUUCCUUCUAAUAUCAAUUCUUCUUUCUUCAUUAUUCCAAUUUCUGGGACUUUCCACACAUUACUGCUGCUAUUGUUAUUAGUAUUGUUACUGCUAUUAUGCCCUUCACUUCCUAUUCCAUCCAUCACAUUUCUCUGUAUACAAACACAAAUAUAAUCUUCAAUUCAAUAUAACAUAUAACAUUCUGCUUCUAUAUCAUUCCUAUAUACAUACUUGUUCAUAUAUAACAUUUAAUCUUUAAAAAAAGUUAUCAUUUUGGUUCUCAUAUUUCAAUGUUUGUUUCAUUUUACUUUCUAUAUUUUCAAUUGUUUAAUUUUCCUCUUACUCUCAUUAGUUUAGUCCCUCAAUAGAUUUAUUCAAAUAUUAAAGAUUUAUUUAAUAAUCUUGUUAUAGGUUUUUUUUGUAUUAUUUUUAAAAUAGUAACAAAAACAAUGUAGCCAUAAAACAAAACAUAUAUUUAUAUAUAUAUAGAAAAGGAUAUGUCAUGAAAGAUAUUGAAACAAAAUUUAAAAAACAAAAAAAAAGUAUCAAAUAAGCUUUAAAAUCAAGGAAUUCAGAAAGGUAUGUAUAUGAAUGAAAAACUAUUUUCUACUUUUGGAAAGCUGAUAAAUUAGUUUUCACAUCUACCCCUUUUAAAUUUGAAGUAUAUCCUUUUUGUCCCCACAAGUAUUGGUAUUUAUAGGAUUGGACUGCACCUCAUAGCCCAAACACUGAAUUCACUUCCCUCUCUGAAUACCAAAACUAUGAUUAGAAUACAAAAAGCUUAUAUUUCUAACUCUUUUUUUUUUCUCUUAUCUGCUUUUUGGUUUUGAUUUAUUUGAUUUACAAAAUUCAAUGUGUGACAAUUAGUACCCAUGUUAAAAGAUGAAUUUGAAACGGUCGAAAUGAAAUCAUAAGAAAAUAGGGUUUAAAUACUUAUAAAAUUUUUAAAUAAACAUUGCUUUUCAGAAAAAGAACUUAUUCUGGUAUAUCACUCUCCUAAAAUUGCUUAUAUAGAUUAUAAGAGUGUUCACGUAAGACACACAAAUUCGUGUCUCUCUUAACUAUUAACAAGUAUAUUUAGAAGUUAGUUUGAAAUCAUUAAAAUAAAUUACUUUACUUGUUUGUGAUGAUUAUGAUUUAUGAAUAUAGUUCUGGUGUCUAAUGACAAUGUGAAAGUAUACAAAAGUGCUUUUAAUCAAUGAGAGAUACUAAUAUAUUGAUAGUGUUUUUGAAAUUUCUAAGAUCAUAUUUCAAAAGGAUAUUAAUCAUUUCAAAAUCAAGCUGAAUUGAAUGAUUUUUGUGAAAAUGUUUAGAAGGGAGUUUGAAAUGAUUAAAAAGAGUGGAUGAAAGUUAGGUUUUGAAAGUCUAAAACUAAACAUUAAAGUAAUUUAGAAUGAUUAAUAGACAGGAAAUACACUUUUCUAAACUAAAUCUAAAUCUAUAGACUCUAAUUUUAUGUAUUACAUUAUCAAACAUUAAGCUAAUAAAUGGGAAAAGAAGAGAAGAGAUCUUACACUAAGAAGAGAAUCAGAGCAGAGAUAUGGAUCAUCAUGAAGAUCAGGAACGGUCUGAGGUGAUUCUCCAUUGAUGAACAGAGGAGCUUUAUCAGGCCAAGCGUUCAAUAUCCCUUCAUAAUCAAGCUUCAACCAUAACUGUUUCCCAAUCAUCUCCAUCUUAAUCUUCUUCUUCUUCUUCUUCUUCUUCAUCAUCUUAACCUUCUUAACCCACUCAUCCGCCGCCGUACUCGUCACUUCCUCCUCCUUCUUCUCCACCACUUCCGAAUAACAAACCCAUUUCUCCUCCACCCCCGUUUCCCUUUCUCUGUUCCUCAUCGCCGUCCGUACAAGCUCUGCCUCCUCCACCAAAUUCCGAGACUCUUCCUCCGAUGACAUCUCGUUUUGGUAACAUGGGAGAAAGCUUUGUAAGCUGCAGCAGCUGCUACUUACGACAUCGUCGUUUUCGAAGAUGAAGGCGACGUCGUCUUCUCUGUCUUCUACUUGUAGAUUCUCCGGAUGCAGGGGAAACAGAGUUAGCUGUUUCUGAGGCGGAGGAGGUGGCGGUGGCAGUGGUGGGUGGUGGAUCAUCGGUGGUGAUUUGGGAGAAGUUAACUGUAAUCGAAGACUGAGGAAUUUGGGUCGUCUGGUUUUGGUUCGAGAUUUACGAAUUGGGUGUUUGAUUAAUGAGUCGUUCCUGCACAUUUCUUUUGGUUGUUCAAAGAAGACAUGGACAAAAAUUUUACUCUAUGAAAAUAGAGGAAAAAUAUAAUGAGAAAAUAUUUCAAUUUAUAGUUCUAAAGUUGACCCUUUAUAUUUUAUUUAAAUAAAUCUUGCUCAAACUCUAAACAAUAAUGAUAUGAAAUUAAAAUUUUAAAUAUGUUUGGUGGUUUGAUUUAGCCAUGGAUAAGUAGAAGAAAUGUAAAGUAUGAAUAAUUAUAGAAUGUGAUUAAAAUAUAAAGAAAUGUGAAAAUUAAAUAGAUUAAGGAAGUUAAAUAGUAUAUUUAAUAAAUAAAUAAAUAAAGAAGAAAGGGAAAUUUUGUAGAAAAGAAAAAAGAGAAAAAGGGAAGGGGAGGGGACCCAGUUGAGGGAAAAAGUGAAAGAGAAACCCGAUUGAGUCAGCUAUGUGAUAUUAAAAGAUGAUGUGACGUGUUUGGUUUAUUGACAGGUGGAUGUAGAAGAUUGGGUGAGAGAGUGGAUUUUGUAUUGUUAUCCAGAUUUCGCUGUGGAUAGAAUGUGGGGGUGUUUUAGUAAUUUGAAUUACAAUUAUUAGUAUUAUUAUUUUGUGAAGACAAUCAAUAUUUGAGGCUGUUUUUGGAGUAAUAAUAGUGUUCACAAGAUGCUUCCUCUCCCUCUCACUUCACUUCACUUCCAUACAUUACCCCUUUUCCCUCUCUCUCUUCUAACUUCUCAUUCAUUCUCAUUAAAUACUAUAAAUAUUUCAUCACUAUUUACAAAUUUACAAUCAUAAAUCUAUACUCUAUCUAUGUACGUCCAAAACAUUUUUUUACAUCUAUGUCCCCCUUCUCUAUCAUGCUUCUUACAUAAUUUCAAUUAUCUACUUUUCCAAAACCAUUUAUAUAUAUAUAUAUAUAUAUAUAUUCGGUUUUCGAUUUCAUUAUCCACAAUAUAUCCAUACGAUUCAAUUUGAUUCACAUUUUAAAUGUUUGUACUUUUCUUUUUCUUUAUAAACGCUUUAAAAAAUCAAUUUAUAAAUACACCUCUUCUUUGCUUUUAUUAUUUACACACAUAGAAAUAACAAUAAUUUUAUUCGAAAAUAAUAUGCUUGGCAAAAGUAGUACAAAUACUAGAGAUCUCCACAAACUAAAUUUGAUUUCUCAUUUAUUUGUAGUUUAAGUGUUAUAGUUUCUAAUUUUUAUCAUACGCUAGUUUCUCUUGAAUACAUCAAUUUUAAUCCUUAAUAAUCUUUACAAUCUCAUUCGAAGUUUGGUCUUUGGAGUACUUGAUGAUCUCGAGGAUUGGUCUUUGAAUUUGAGUUUUUUUAAUAAGCAACUUUUGGACUUAAGUCUUUGGUUUGUAAAUGGAAAAGAAACAACCCAAUUUAUUGAAGUCGACGGUGAAGAGACAAUCAAUUUUGUUCGAUAAGAGAUGUUCAAUUGUUUGAAGAAGAGAUUCAAUAUUUUAAUAUUUUGAAAUCUAAAUGUUUACAUUAAUCUUCAUACUUUCUUAUAUCUAGAUUGUUCAAAUGAUGGGUGACCUUCCCUAUUUAUAGAUUAUAGAUUUUUGCGAGACCUUGUAUAAGUUUGGGCUUGUUCGAUAUCGAACAUAUAUAACUUUUAUGCUUAGACUUACUUUAAUAAUUAUUUUAAUACAUUUCUAUUAAAUAAAUAUUAAAUAAAUUUAAACCCAAAAGUUAUAUUCAAUAUAUUUUAAAUAGACUUUUAGUUUAAAUUGGAUCCAAUGUAUUAAAAUAAACUCAAGCUAACCUAGGUUCAAGGUUCAAGUUUAAUGGUCAUGUGGUAUAAUAUGAUUAGAUACACUUACAUUGUCCAUUUAUAAAUAUAGAGAUCCAUGUUCCCAGGCUAGUUUCUUCCUUCUAUUUUAGUUCAAAUAUUUAUUCUACUUUAGUUCAAACAUAAUUGAUUUCUAAAUUUUUAGAGGCGAUGUGUUAAAGUUGGUUAUUGUAAUUAGUGAUCGGUAAACUAUGGUGGUGUGUAGGGAUGCAUAUCCUUUUAAUUUUAAUACGUAAGAAAUGGGAUUAACAAAGUUGGGAUGAGAAGUUGAGGAUACAUGUUGUGUGUUUCUUGUCUUUCUUUGAAAUAGAAAAGGCUAAAGUUGCACAAAAAUUCUUCUUCAAAUACAUCAUUUCAUCUUUACUCAACUGAUCAUACUUUUUGUUUUCCCUACUAUGGAUAUAUGAAAAUUACCAAUUAUAUUGUGUUGACUUGAGUUGCUUCCUCUUAUCCACUUUUAAAUUUUUCUUAUUACAAAACAAAAACAAAAAGUACUACUGCCAACAUAACUUGACUUAUCGAAUGAAACCAUGUUUUUGUAUGGUACUUGUUUUUAAAUAUAGCAAAAUAUUACAAAGAGAUUAUUGCUAUCAUCUACCACUACUGCUAGAUGCUGAUAGAUAUAAAUAAAUUAUGAAAUUUUGUUAUAUUUAUAAACAGUUCAACAAUUUGUCAUUUAAAUCAAAAUUGUAAUUAUUAAAUAACCUCUAAAAAGUUGGGCUAUUAACAUGGAUGGGUGAAGCUUCAACCUAUUAUAACUCAAUUGCUUAACCUAAAUAUGCUUCUAAUUAGCUCUAUUCCAAAAAUAAAUAAAUAUUAUAUUUAACCUUUUUCUAAUAAUUAAUUUGUUCAUUUCCCUUCUACAUCUCUAAUACAACUUUAACUAUGCCGUAUAGUGAUUCAUUACUUAUAUCGAUUACUAAUAAGUUAUGUUAGUUGAACUUUUUUUUUCUCUUUAGUACAAUUGAAUGUAAAGAUUUGAACUAAAGAUUUGAACUAUUUGCAAACAUGAGUUUAGCUCAACUGGCACUGUAUGUUCAAAAAAGUAAACAAGAGGUUUCAGGUUCAAUUACAAUGAUAGAGAAAGUGUUGUGUUGAUAAUCCUUUUUUUUUUAGGUUUAAUGGUCUAAUAGCUAGUAUAAGGUUCUAUCUUAAAACCAAUUAAUAAUAAGAAAAGUAGCUUAUUUAUCUUAUAUGGAGUGUGUCACUUUAGUUUUUCCAAUGUGGGACUCUUAACAUUUUUAACACUUCCAUUAGGUUGUUUAGGUGAGACUUCCACGUUUUUUUUUCUUUGAAAAUCUAGUUUUAUAUGACAAUCCCGGUCUCAUCUCAUUCCCCAUUCCUAUAAAAUUCUCUACGGGGAUUCGGGCGGAGAUUCCCCAUGAGGAAUUCACAGGGAUUAGUUUUCCAUAAAAAGUAUUUUAUCAUUUUUUUAAAUCAAUUAAUAUAAAUUAUCGAGAUAAGAAAAUCUUAAUUAUAUAACUAAGUCUAUCGUUGAAUCGUUUAUUUACAUUUAAGGAUAAAUUAGUUAAAUUUUAAGUUAAAGAAGAAAUUAAUCAACUUUUUAGUAGAAAGAAAUAAACAUAAAUCAAAUUAUUUACUUAUAUAAUCUAAAUUCAAACAUACUCAUUAUCUUGGCAAAUAAACAAUCAGAUUUAAAAUUUAAAUGUAUUAUUUAUGUAAUAAUAAGAAUAACAUAAUCUUACAUGACAAUACUAAAUAAAGAAAUACAAUAUAAUGGAGGCAGGAACGGAACAGGAUCAAAGGAAUGCAUUAUUCCCAUGCUCUCGUCUGAAAGAUUUUGUUGUUUGAGUUAUUCAAAUUGUUGUUAACUUUUAUUAAUAACAAAUAUAAAUUAUUAUUAAUUGUUAUUUGAGUUCAAAUUAUUGUUAUAAUUAAUAUCCUCACGAGGAGAAAGAGUUGUUUAUGAACCAAAAAAGAAAGAGAAGAAAAAGGUAAAAAACAAAACACAAAACCAACAUAUAAUUAUAUUCCUCACUUUCUGCCAUUAGCUUUCACAUUCACAAACAUCCCGAGUUCAACCAAAAUCUUACGUUUCACUUUGCAAAAACUCAAAAUGUUGGAACCAAAAUAAACUUAACAUCACAUCUUUCUUCAUAUAAUUAAUUAUAUAUAUUGAGAUGUAUUCUAUUUUUUUCUUCUUGAUAUAAAAUAUAAAGGAUAUACUAAAUAAUUAUUAAGCUAGAGUCACGCUAGAUCAGUUAGCAACGAGAGCCCCUGCGGCAAUUGAGAGCACCUGCAGUGAUAGUGAUAUCCCCAACAAGAGAUGAGGGUCUAGCGCUGAGACUAUAAGCUCGUGCAUAGCUAGAGGAGGCACCAGCGCCUGAUUGGCGAAAAUAGGCGCCAUUCAACAACAAGUCACCCUCAGAACGCCAGUUCCAAUGGCGCCACUCGCUCUCGGGUGCGUCCUCGUGCUUUGUUACCUCCUUUCGAAACCGAUUAUAAGGCGCCACGAAUCUAUUGCCUUGGCUGUAUAUCGUGGGUGAAGCACUCCCUCCGAUGGCAUACAUUUCCCAAUGAGUGUAAUCGUUGUUCACUACAUGGAAAUAUCCAUGUCUACAUCUACACAUAUAGCAUAUAGGUUUAAAUUUGUUUUUAAUUAAGAAUGAAAUUAAAGUAAUAUUGUAGAGAUGAUGAAAAGGGAUAUAUGAAAUUUACCUUGGCAUUCGUUGGACAAGUCCUUCACCAAAAUGGUUAAAAGCAAUAGUAACUUGCAUGUUUUUAUCUUGGGUGAAAGAAUCACUAUGUCCCAAUAACAUAACCUUAUCAUGAUGUGUCAUAUAGUUAUUGGAUAUAGUAAUAGCCGUUGAUCCAUGAAUGGCGUCAAUCAACCCAUCAUUACAAUUAGACAAAGAGCAAUGAUCGAUCCAGAUUUGUUUACCACCUAAAAUGGAGACACCAUCACCGUCAGAUGCAGUCCACCAGCCAGCAUGCUGUGGGGAGUCUCGUAUGUUAGCAUUCCCACCUCUCUUGCAAUCGUGAAUAUGGAUGCCGUGGAUGAUUAUAUUCGUCGCGUAGUGGAUUUUAAUACAAGGGCCACCUGCCAGGUGGACGCUGGCGCCACGUCCGUCGAUGGUUUUGAAGGAGUUCAUGACCAGCUCUUGGGCGAGUUUGAUUACCAUGUCGCGCUUGAAGAUGAUCCAUAAGGGUUCGUUUUGGAUGACGGCGUGGCGGAGGGUGCCCGGACGGGGGUUAAGUGGGUCGUCGUUCCCGGAGUCAGUGACUACGUAGAAACGGCCGUUUUUGCCGCCGAUUGCGUUUUUGCCGAAGCCGAUGGCGCAAUCGGCUAAGCGUUUACGGUUUGUUUCCCAAUUGGAAUCGCAUCUCCAACAAUCGUCUAUUGGGUUUCCUGUUCCACAUGAUAAAUACCCCAAGUUUCUUCUUGAUCCAUUUAUGCUCCUGCGUGCCGCCAUCAGUAACCACAAAUUUAUUUUACAACCAGAAAUAAUAACUAAUACAAUUGCCAAAUGUAUAUCAAAACAUAGAUACACUAAGAAGUAUUUUCCCCAAAAUUUUGAAUACAGUUUUGGUUUGGUUCUAUGUUAGCUAGGUGCUCAUUCUUUAAAAUAGUAAACUUUCAAUGUUUGUUCCUUUGUCACAUUACAUUCCCACCUUUUAAGGUGUCUACUUGUCAUGUUUUAUUCUUUUAAAAAAAGGUUUAUUUUAAUUGGAUCUACAAAAUAAUAACACAAAUUAAAAUUUUACUCAUCAUAACAACUGCUCUUCCCAUAUAAAUUUAUUUUCACAAGUGAGCCAAGUUUAACCCUAAAACUUUGUUACAUAAAAGAUUUGUUUUUAAAAAUGCAUGCAUGACCGAAAGUUAAAUGAUUUAGAAGUACAAGAACUAAAACAAGAGUAUAUUUAAUAUGUAUGAGAACCAAUGUACAUAACAAAAAUGUAUAUAUAUACCUUUGAACUUCUUCAACGACGAGAUGAGGAUGUUGAUGAACAAAAGGUAAGGAGGAAUUGGAAGGUAGUGGAGCAGUCAUAGACAAGAAGAAAGAAAGAGAUAAAAGAAGCAACAAAAAGUAAAGGGAAGAAGAAGAAGAAGAAGAAGCCGCCAUUGGAGAGUUCAAAAUUAAACAAAAGAAAAAAGAAAGAUUGAAAAAUUGGUUUUAGGGAAAAUGGGGAUUGAUAUAAGUGAUUUAUAUAGAAAUAUAAAGCCGAUAGUAGAGGCGUGAUUGUACCAUAAAUUACAUUUGUGGGGUCUCUAACAUUAUCGUAAUUUCAGGUUUUUUGAACCCUCUCUCUUCAAUCUUCAAACCACACUUAAGUCAAUUCACUUUGACUUUUUCCUUUUUGCUUCCUUUUUCUAUCGUGUCUUCCUCUCGAGUCAUCGUCGCAAUAUAUAUAUAGUUGAUAGGUUCACAUUGUUAUUUUGUGCUAUUAUGGCGAGAACGAUCUCAUAGUAACGAUUGGAUGUGAAUUUUAACAUAUGAACUGUUUUAUUAUAUAUUUUGUCUCUACCAAACUGAAAAACGCAAGAAUUGUUGAAGAUGCGAUUUUAAAUAUAGAGACUAAAAGUAAGCAACAAAAAAAGAAACACAAAACUUUAUAUGAAGAUUUUCAAAUUUCAACUCACUAUAGAAAUAAAUCCAUUAGGUGUAAAAUUGUUACAAUCACAUAGAAUAAAUCCCUUGAUGAUGAUUCCAAUUAUUAAGCAUACUCUAUAAAAGCUUUUGAACAACCACUCAAACUAGAAAGGAGAGUUUAACUAGAGUGAAUGGUUACAAUCACAAAUAAAUAAUAAUCUUUCUCUAAUUCUAAAAUUCUAAUGCAUUUGUACCACUCAUAAAUUUUUUUUUAAAAAAAAAGAAUUUAAGCUUCAAGUAUAUUUAUAAAAACAAUUUGAAAUCAAAGUCAUGGACUCCUCGCUUCAGUGAAUAUAAACAAUAACACACUUAUUCUAAUAUUUUAUCAAAACCAAUGGUGUCUUUCAAAUUAAAGUUUGAGACCUUCCAUGUGUUUCUUAAAACACUUUAGAUAAAACUAAUUAGGUCAUACUUUUUUUUCCCUUGGUGACUUUUGAGGGAUUAAAGCCAUCAAUGGUAGAAUUUUCUGAUUUUAGAUUCACACCAAAGGACCAAUAUAAUUAUUGCAACUGCUUUUGACUCCUAAAGUAUAUAGUGUGAGGAUUUUAAUUAACCCCUCUAAGAACUUAUAAAUAUGAACAUCCAAAUAUUACCUUUCUGGAAUUAAUAUAUAACUGAGAUAUUAAUUAGGUCAAUAAAGUAUAUCAGUAGGCUCAUGAUAUACUUGUAAGUAUUAUUUUAUUGUAUUGAAUGUAUAUACAAACUGUCAGUUGAGAGUUAAAGUAAUACAAUCGUGUGUUAACACUACUUUUGCUUUGAAGUACUUUUCAUGGACAUUACAGCGACCAACUCUAGAUAUAUUUAUUGUAUAGCAGCACAAAUUAUUAUAAUGGAAUUUUGUGAUUGAAUAUAACAUAUGUUUAUUUUAUGAUUGGUUUGCACUAUUCGGUUACAAACAAAAGUAUAGAAAGAUUAUAGAUAAAGACCUUCAGAAAAAGUACAUUGAAAAUUAAACUAGUACAGAGUUAGAGAGAUAAAAGAGAAGUAGAGAGAGCUGACAAAAUCUUCCAUUAGGGUUUCACACACUGUAGAACAACGUUUAAAAAAAACGUUAAAUACAAAAGAAAUUAACCUUAACUACAUAACAUCAAAAUAAUAACAUAAUAUUAAAGUAUUACAGUUCAAUUCUAAAUACUCUAACACAGUAAAGUAGGACGUCGUUUGAGACAUAUGCUCUCGUUUCAUAAUUUAAAAUUGAAAUUAUGAACACAAUUAAAGUUUUUCUACAAAUUUGAGACAAGUAAAUUUGAUUAAUUUUGGAUCCAAUGUUGGAAAAGAGAAUGAUAGAGGUUGUUGUAGAAAGAUACUCUCAAUUUCCUGUUUUUUCAAACAUUUCUCCUCUACAAAAAAAAAAAAGUACGAAUUAAUUUUGUUUAAGCUAAUGUUUGCAUAAAUAUAAUUUUACGAUAUAAUAUUUAAAUAUUAUGGUUUUCAAUUCAAACUUAAAUGUGCUAGAAAUUAAGGAGGCUCGUUUAGCUUUUAUGCGAGAUAUUAUAUUCAAUUAGAAAAAUCAUAUAAUAUAAAGUCCUAAGUUAUAAAUUAAUUUUUUUUAAAAAAAUUGAUGUAUCAAAACAAAAACAUACUAAAAAGUUCUUUAAAUCUUAUAUUAAGAAUGUGUGUUUUCUAGUGGAAUGCAGGUAGAUAGAUUUGAAUGAGUUUGAAAAAAGUUUUAAGGAGUAAUCAAGAAAAGAGAAAGAAGGAUCAAAGAGUGAAGAGAAUUUUUAAAAGAAAAAAAAAAUGAUCAUAUGAUCAUCUCCUCUUUUGUAUUCUCAGAGAAUCAUCAAAUGCAUAUAAUAAUAAAAUAACAGAACCAUUGAUCUCUCUUCAAAUACAAUUCAAACCCAUCUCAUUAAUCUCAUUAAAUUUAGAAAAAUUACAAUCUUAGAACACAAACAAUCCAACAAUGCCCGAAAUCCCAGCAACGGCCGCAACAGACACUUUCACCAAAGAACCACCAUUGGCCGGAGAAUCUGAGGGUGUAUCAGCUGGUGAAUCAGCUGAUGAAUCAGCUGGUGCAUCAGCAACCGCAUCGCUUGUAGGUCCGGCAGCAGGUCCAGUUGGGGAAGGUGGAGAUGACACAUCGGCUUCAGGGGCUCCAGCAGGGGCCACAGUGGAAGAAGACUCAUCGCCAGCAGGGGAAGAAGCAGGGCCACCGGCAACAGGGGUGUCAGCUUCAGGGGCUCCAGCCUUAGCUGAAGGGGCAGAAGCAGCUCCUUUGGGAGCACCGGCGGCGGAAGGAGUGGCAGCGAUCGGGGCGUCAGCGGCUGCGGCGGGAGACUUGGAAGGAGCAGCUGCGGGAGUUUUUGCGCCAUCGGAGGGUUCAACGUCAGCGGCCUUGGGGGAGGAAGCAGGGGAGGAGGCGGGGGAGGAGGCGGGGGAGGUGGCGGGGGCUUCGGCGGCAGAGACAAUGCCGACGACGGCGGCGGAGAAGAGAAGGGCGAGGAGAGCGAAUUGACGGGCCAUUGUUGGGGAUUUGAGAUGGGGAGAUUGAACUGAACGAGAGAAAAGAAGAAAGAGGAAAUUAUUUUUAUUUAGGAUUCUGAAGGUUGCAGAAAUCCUCUAAUGAAUAUAGAGAAAGACUGCAAGACCAGAGAAUGAGUUUGAAGGAAGGAAGAUGAAGGGUAUUUAAAGGGGUUGAGGAAGAGGGAGGAGGAUUCAAUUUGAGGUUGAGAGUGUAGGACGGCCGUUUCGCCAUUUUUAGUCGGCGGCCAGAACGCAACGGUAUUUUUGGUUAAUCUUCUCUACAAUGGCGGGAGAGAAAUUAGCAAAUUAUAGUUAUCUCUUUGCAUCUCUGCUUCCUCCACGUGUUAUGCUUAAAAAACUACAACAACAAUUCCCCAAAAUUACUUAUUAGUCCCCACAACAAUUUUUUUAUUAGUAUUAUAAAUAAUGUAUAUGAAAAUUUUGUGCUAAAAAGUAUAUGAAAUUUUGAACGAGGGAAAAAAUGAAUUUCUUAUUUCUAAUGUUAUUUUUAGAUUUAAAUUUCUAAUUAAAAAAAUUCCUUUUGUUUUCAACUAAGCACAUCUUCAAAAUUCAUGUGAAUUAAAAGACGGAAAGGAUACAUCUUAAAAAUUAAAAUGGCUAAAUGCCUAUAUUUUCAUAAUUCUAACUCCAAACAUAAUUUUUUCUAAAAUAACUAAAUUACAUCAUAUUAUCAAAUAUUUUAUGUAUUUAUUUUUUUAAUGAUAUUUUAUAAGAGAACUUAAGUGUUGCUCAAAUGUACAAGUGCAGCUCAUCUAAUUAAAAUAUUUUAUGACAUGUAAUUUUUUAAAAAUAAAUUAUUGUUAUCAUUUACUAUUUAAAACGAGGAAGUAUGAUAGAAUGCUCUUCUAAUUGCAUAUAAAUAUAUAUUCUUACUCUUAUCGGCAAAAGAAAAAAAAUAUAUAAUUUAACAAUUCAUUCUAAAAAAAAUAUUAGAGGUUGGAGUCAGACAAUUUCUUGUAUUUUCUUUCUUUUAUUUAUAAUAUUUUAGUAUGACAAGAGUAAAACAAAAAUAUUAGAGAUAUUUUAUUGAAAAAUAUUAGACAAAUUAAAAGAUUAUCUAACGAGCCACAAACAUAGAAAACUACUCAAUCGAAAUAAGGACUAUUGACCAAAAAGACUUGUUAUCCUACAAAAUUUUAGUUGUAAGAUAGCAGGCUAAAACGCCUUGCACCCACAUAUCUACAUUUAAAAAGAA
rnacentral:lncRNA from 1 species